rnacentral:sRNA from 1 species
UAAACAAAGGGCUCUUACAAUUUAGUA